AUGCUCGACGCAGGAAGCCAUAGAUCUCCCUUGGAGCCCAACGAGCAACCACAGUCGGGCCAUUUUCUGAGUUUCUUUGGCCCGGCGAGGUGCUUGCUGCUCUGGCUAGCUCGCAGCAUGGCAAUGAUAAAGAGAUGCCUUUGCAGAUCCGAGGAAGACUUCAAAGGACUGUUAAGGACAACCAAUAUCCACCUUUUCUCCUACAAGGAGAUCAGAAGAGCAACGAACAACUUCCACCGUAGCAACAAGCUAGGCAGAGGUGGUUUCGGAACUGUGUACAAGGGAACCUUUGGAGACGGCACUGCAUUUGCUGCCAAGGUUCUAUCCUGUGAAUCUGAACAAGGGAUCAAGGAAUUCCUGACAGAAAUCGAAAGCAUCGGCGAGGCCAAGCAUGCGAACCUCGUCAGCUUGCUGGGCUGCUGUGUCCAGAAGCAAAAUAGGAUCCUGGUCUAUGAGUUCGCGGAGAACAACAGCCUGGAUCAUGCGCUCAAAGCUCUAGGUUCAGCGAGCGGAGCAGCGAUCCUCCCAUGGAGCGUGAGGUCGGACAUCUGUAUGGGCACGGCCAAGGGGCUGAGCUACCUCCACGAGGAGCACGAGCCCAACAUGGUGCACAGAGACAUCAAGGCAAGCAACGUCCUCCUCGGCAGAAACUACACUACUACAGCCCCAAAAUCGGGGACUUCGGCUUGGCGAAGCUGUUCCCGGACAACGUCACCCAUGUCACCACGUGCGUGGUCGGGACGACCGGAUACCUGGCGCCUGAAUACGUGGUGCACGGGCAGCUGA
rnacentral:rRNA from 1 species